UGGCUCAGUGGUUAAGAGCACUGACUGCUCUCCCAGAGGUCCUGGGUUCAAUUCCCAG
rfam:Rattus norvegicus chromosome 13, whole genome shotgun sequence.